GGUUAAAAAGUACGUAGUCAAAGCCUGCCGCGGACGGGGGUCCGUCCUUUGGACGUGAAUUCAGCUUGUCUGGGGCUCACGGUGGUCUCCGCGACUGCAGUUGACUCUGCGGUGCGGAGCUCGCCGCCUUUACUUUGAGGAAAUCAGUGUGCUUCGAGCGAGCAGGGGCUCAUAUAUAUUAGCAUGGAAUAAUACUAAAGAGUCCCACUCCAAAUUUAUUGGUUUCGAUUGUGAGACUGACGCGACAAAGGGAUAGUUGGGGGCAUUCGUAUUUAACUGUUAGAGGUGAAAUUCUUGGAUUAGUCAAAGACGCUCUACUGCGAAAGCAUUUGCCGAAGAUGUUUUCAUUGAUCAAGAACGAAAGUUAGGGGAUCGAAGACGAUCG
rnacentral:rRNA from 1 species